GCUCAGUAGCGGCGAGUGAAGCGGCAAGAGCUCAGAUUUGAAAUCUCACCUAGUGUGCGAGUUGUAAAUUGCAGGUUGGAGUCUCGGGUUAGACGUGUGUGCAAGUCCCUUGGAACAGGGUGCCACUGAGGGUGAGAGCCCCGUAGCGUGCAUGUCGACACCUGUGAGGCCCUUCUGACGAGUCGAGUUGUUUGGGAAUGCAGCUCUAAGUGGGUGGUAAAUUCCAUCUAAGGCUAAAUAUUGGCGAGAGACCGAUAGCGAACAAGUACUGUGAAGGAAAGAUGAAAAGCACUUUGAAAAGAGAGUGAAACAGCACGUGAAAUUGUUGAAAGGGAAGGGUAUUGGGCUCGACAUGGGAUUUACGCAUCGUUGCCUCUCGUGGGCGGCGCUCUGGGUUUUUCCUGGGCCAGCAUCGGUUUUCGUUGCAGGAUAAGGACAAUUGGAAUGUGGCUCCUCGGAGUGUUAUAGCCUUUUGUAGAUGCUGCGUAUGGGGACCGAGGGCUGCGGCGGACUCGUUUCGUCUCGGAUGCUGGCACAACGGCGCAAUACCGCCCGUCUUGAAACACGGACCAAA
rnacentral:rRNA from 1 species